UUCCUACGGGAGGCAGCAGUGGGGAAUUUUGGGCAAUGGGCGCAAGCCUGACCCAGCGACGCCGCGUGGAGGAUGAAGGCCUUCGGGUUGUAAACUCCUGUCAGGUGGGAAGAAAUGCCCGUCGGUGAAUAGCCGACGGGAGUUGACGGUACCACCAAAGGAAGCCCCGGCUAACUCCGUGCCAGCAGCCGCGGUAAUACGGAGGGGGCAAGCGUUAUUCGGAUUUACUGGGCGUAAAGCGCACGUAGGCGGCUAGGCAAGUCGCAGGUGAAAGCCCUCGGCUCAGCCGAGGAACUGCCUGCGAAACUGCUCUGCUUGAGUCCGGGAGGGGGGAGCGGAAUUCCCAGUGUAGCGGUGAAAUGCGUAGAUACUGGGAGGAACACCGGUGGCGAAGGCGGCUCCCUGGACCGGUACUGACGCUGAGGUGCGAAAGCGUGGGUAGCAAACAGGAUUAGAUACCCUGGUAGUCCACGCCGUAAACGAUGGGCACUAGGUGCAGCGGGUGUCGACCCCUGCUGUGCCGAAGUUAACGCAUUAAGUGCCCCGCCUGGGGAGUACGGUCGCAAGGCUGAAACUCAAAUGAAUUGACGGAA
rnacentral:rRNA from 1 species